UAGCUCAGUUGGUAGAGCACCUGACUUGUAAUCAGGGGGUCCCGAGUUCGACUCUUG
rnacentral:tRNA from 1 species